GACUGCAACAAUGUAUCGUAAAUCUAUACGGAUGCUCUUCGACUGCUUGUCGAAGUCCUUUUUGCCCCAGUCGGUAGGUCUCUAGACGUUACAGAGAACCCCGAACAACCCAAAUUGUUAAUCUUCAAUACCGCUUUGUACUUACGAUCUUGUAUCCACUGACUAUCUUGUUAGAUUAACCCAAUAAAUUUCAUUCACUCCGCAUACUCAAUCCUAUAGACACCCUUUUAAUCCUUCAAUCACAGACGUAACUCGAUUUCACAAAACAGUCAAGAGUAUUUAAACCCACUUCAUUAAAAAUCCCGAUUCACCAUUA
rnacentral:lncRNA from 1 species